rnacentral:misc_RNA from 1 species
UAUUUGGAAGGGUUGAGGAAGGGAAAAAAACGAAUGGGGAAAAAUUAUGUAUGAUACAAGUUAAAAAUGCUGACAAGUAUAUGAUUCAGAGAGAUGACGAUUUACAAGAUGGUUCCCAAUACCCAUANNNNNNNNNNNNAUAGGCAAUGAGGCCCAGCCUUGCUCUGGGACGGCUCAUAAGAACUCGACCACCAGAUACCCAUAUUCCAUCAAUUCGAUCUGCAAGUGACUUUCCUUGCUUGGGAAUGAGACCUGAUGUGUUAAGAGACUUGAACGCAUGACCUUUUUCCUCAUCAGUUUCCUCAUUGUUGAUCAGACUCCCAGAUUCUGAAUCAAUACUGAGAACAAG